CUACAUACCUUUGUUUCAUGUAACAUGAGAAAACAGACACAUAACAUAUUCCUUCCUUUUGUGUUUAGCCAAGCACAUCUGUACAGCAGUCUGUAGUGCGUCAUGUUGCCUGCCAGACAGACCAACCAGGGAAAUGCACGGUUGGCACACAGCUUUCCAUGAGAACUGUCCGGCCUCACUUCAGAAGCACAGACUCUACCUGGCUGCCCUGCAUUACAAUGAAAAUACUGACCGACCACAGGCAACAUCUACAGGUGGAGAGCUUCUGUACAGUCAACUUCCCCAAAUCUAAGCAUGGAGAAUGAACUGCAAAGCCUGUGAAAGCAGAGCCAACAUUAUACUACGCUGAUGCACUGUUGGACCUGAUCUUCGAGAAGGUUUUCCAGGACCCUGGCCCAUAUGCGAACGAGGUGCUGAAACUUACAAUCUCUGAAGACCUCUCGGCUGAGUAUGAAAGACCCAACAAGCUGGACAUUAUAGCCAGUUUACGUGCCAAGGUUCAAUCAAGGACAGGUCUGAACCAAACAUACUGUCCUUCUGCAUAAGGGAACGCUGCAGGAAUCCUCAGCACCGCGCAGGCAGGCAGCACAGCUCUCACUCUCUGCCCCAGAAAGCCCCAGCACCAGCUUACAAAGCUUCUGUAGGCUAGGUAUCUAUAUUGGCUGCACACAAAUCAGUAGUAAGUCAGCACUUAAUGUUGACAUCCAUGGCAACUGGCAAGUUUAACUGUUCCACUUUAGAUAUUUUAUUUUGUAUGUCUACAAUUGUUUCUUGCAAUAAAACAUCUCUCCCAACUGUUCUGUGUGUUUUCAUUGUUUGAUAUGUAGUUUUCAUGUUACCAAGUAACAGAUGGUAAAGAUAAACUAUAAGCAAUGUAAGACAGAGGAAGCAGUUAUGUACUUCAUAACACUU